AAUUCAUAAAUCAAAGAAGAAUAUUGAUUUCUGUGCUUGGAUCAGUCACCGGUAAAGAGUUACAGGAUGACUUAGAUUGGCUAUGGCUUGAAUUUACGGAUGAGCAGAAGGAUAAAUAGAGUGUUAUAGUAUCUGAUCAGAGAAUUGAAGAAAUUUAAAUUGUAAUUAUGCAAGAUUUUAUGAAUUAUAUUUGAAAUUAAUUGUUAU